ensembl:lncRNA
CACCAAGGAGAAUGGUCCAGCAGCAGCUGGGUCCAUUCUUAUCAAACGCCCAGCUCCAUACGCUCCAGCCCGUUCCACAUUUCCUAUAGCUCCUUGUGAGAUUCCUCAGCAGCACCAAUGCACUGGCUGACACUCUGUGUUGUCUUAGGUCCUGUGGAGGUCCUACAGGACCUCAUAUUAGAAGACAUCGAAGACAAUGAGCUACCCCGUGACGUGGAGAAGCCUGCGGCCCAGUAUCACCACCGUCCUGUGGAGGUUCUACAGGACCUCAUAUUAGAAGACAUCGAAGACAAUGAGCUACCCCGUGACGUGGUAAGAUGCAUUGUUUGGCUCGAAAAGAAAUUUUCAUUUUCCAGGGUCUCAGGAAUAUCUAGUGAAUAUCAUUUUCGACCUCCCUUGUGAAUAAGACGUCAGUUGUCAUGGACUCUAGCGACCAGUCAGUGGAGAUUCUGACCAACUGAGGCCUGAUUGACGAUGUCCGUCAAAAGAUGGCAUAACUUAGAAUCUGGUUUUGGGCAUAUUUCUCAGUAGCCACAUUUUCUUCUUGAAAAAUAAUUUUGUAUUUUUCAGCCAGUAUAGAUAGUUGCUAGGUAUUCCAAACCCACAGCAUUUUCUGCAAGGAUCCCCUGUGCUUUAUUCGGGGCCUGUGACUUCAUCACUGUUUCACAUCUGGGUUUUUGUUUAGUUUACUUUUGUUGUUGAGACAGAGUCUCUCUUUCACC